rnacentral:rRNA from 1 species
GUGGGGAAUAUUGGUCAAUGGGGGAAACCCUGAACCAGCAACGCCGCGUGAAGGAAGAAGGCUUUCGGGUUGUAAACUUCUUUGACAGGGGACGAAACAAAUGACGGUACCCUGAAAACAAGCCACGGCUAACUACGUGCCAGCAGCCGCGGUAAUACGUAGGUGGCAAGCGUUGUCCGGAUUUACUGGGUGUAAAGGGCGUGUAGGCGGGACGGUAAGUCAGAUGUGAAAUGUAGGGGCUCAACCACUGAACUGCAUUUGAAACUAUCGGUCUUGAGUGGUGGAGAGGCAGGCGGAAUUCCGUGUGGAGCGGUGAAAUGCGUAGGUAUACGGAGGAACACCAGUGGCGAAGGCGACCUGCUGGACAUUAACUGACGCUGAGGCGCGAAAGCGUGGGGAGCAAACAGGAUUAGAAACCCGUGUAGUCC